rnacentral:misc_RNA from 1 species
GCAAACUUGGUCAUUUAGAGGAAGUAAAAGUCGUAACAAGGUUUCCGUAGGUGAACCUGCGGAAGGAUCAUUAACAAUUGUCCACAACCAUGGAUAAUUUUAUCCAUAUCCACCUUGUGUGAAUCACUGAAGCGUUUGUUGGCAGGUUUUGGGCUCCUUUGGAGCCUUUUGGGCAUUGCUCGGCCUGCCAAUUUUAUGUUUAAAACUUGUCUAAAUUUUUACCUGUCUGAAAAUUAAUUAUUAUAAUAAAUACAACUUUCAACAACGGAUCUCUUGGCUCUCGCAUCGAUGAAGAACGCAGC